GGCUCUGAGCUGGAGGCCGGAUUGGAUCUGAACAGAACCAGAGAAACAUCCUGAGAACCUGACAGGAACUGAAACUGUAGCCACUGAUUCUCCUCCAUGCUUCCUCUGAUCUGGACCGUUAACAACACCGAACCAGAACUUCAGCUCAUUAGUUCAGCUUAUUUUCUAAUACUGAAACAGAAGACGCCCCGGCCUGGCUCCCAGCAUGUUUCACUCAUCAUGCAGAUCAGAAAGCUGAGAUUGAGCUGCUCUCAUUGGAACACCAUCAGCAUGUCUGCUGGCCUUUAACUAGACCACUUCAUGAAGCAAAUGGUGGGACCUGGGUUAGGGUCCAUACGGUUAAAAUGGACUUUCAGUUUUUAUAUCUAAAAACUGAAAGUUGGGAACCAUGUUGUAGGCUGGAGUGGAAUAAACUGGAGCAGAACUGGUUUAAAUCUGGCCCACAGAUAUCAGUUUGUUUUCUUCUUCACACUCCAGGGCUACUUAUGGAGUCCCACAGGGUUGUGGAUCGGUCCAGUUCUCUUGCAGUUGGUGAGAUGAUGGGCGGAGCUCCACCCACUCUGGGCGGAGCUGGCAGGAAGCAGAUCUCUGUCCCACUGAGUGCAGCAGCAGAGUCUCCUACAGACUGCAGAGCUGCUGGACUCCAGCUGUGAACAUCAGGACCAACAUGGAAAACCUGGCUCUGAUCUGCUUCUUCUGGGCUCUUUUAGGUGAAAGCUUGGAAGCUGAUAUUACUGCCGUCAGAUCUGAAGUGUUUUCAUCAGAGGGAGGCAGAGUCACUCUGUCCUGUAACUAUUCAGUUAAAGCCGAAAACCUUCAGUGGUAUCGACAAGAUCCUGGAUCAGCUCCUCGCUUCCUUCUCCUGAUCACUGAUACUAAAGAUCCAACUGUGGUGGAAGCACAACCUCCGAACCCUCAACUGACUGCAGGACUAAACAAGGAGAGAAACCGAGUGGAUCUGCUGAUCUCCUCUGCUGCAGUGACAGACUCUGCUGUGUACUACUGCGCUCUGCAGCCCACAGUGACAGGAAACACCAGAACCCUGAACAAAAACCUGCAGUACUGCACAGCAGCCACUAGAGGGCCUCACUCCCUGUUAACACACUAAAACCUGCAGUACUGCACAGCAGCCACUAGAGGGCCUCACUCCCUGUUAACACACUAAAACCUGCAGUACUGCACAGCAGCCACUAGAGGGCCUCACUCCCUGUUAAUCCACUAAAACCUGCAGUACUGCACAGCAGCCACUAGAGGGCCUCACUCCCUGUUAACACACUAAAACCUGCAGUACUGCACAGCAGCCACUAGAGGGCCUCACUCCCACUGGUUGUUGAGUCGUUGGACUGAAGACAAAGACAACAGAGACAUG